GCAGAGGAGCCCAGCCCUGCAUUCCCAGCCGUUCCCUUCAGUGACCAGCACUGAACAGACUCACCAUGGAGCUGGGGCUGAGCUGGCUUUUCCUUUUCACGCUUUUACAAGGUGUCCAGUGUGAGGUGCAGCUGGUGGAGUCUGGAGGAGGCUUGGUGCUGCCUGGGGGAUCCCUGAGACUCUCCUGUGUGGCCUCUGGAUUCACCUUCAGUGACUACUGGAUGCACUGGGUCCGCCAGGCCCCAGGGAAGGGGCUGGAGUGGGUCUCAUACAUAAGUGGUAGUGGUGGUACCACACACUACGCCAACUCCGUGAAGGGCCGAUUCACCGUCUCCAGAGACAAUGCCAAGAACACCCUGUACCUGGACAUGAGCAGUCUGAGAUCUGAGGACACCGCCCUGUAUUACUGUACAAGAGACACAGUGAGGGAAAGUUCCUUUUCAGACUUCCAGGAGGGUGUGACUUACGAAGAAACGGCUUCUCAUAACCCACACGGCUUUCAAGCCCCACCCGUAGUGUCCAUCAGCUUGUAUGUGCCAAGCGCCGUGGGCACCAUCUCACCCCAUGGUCUGAGUGCCUCAUCUCAUCCUGCAGAGCCCGGAGACGAGCGAGGCAUCUGUGCAUGUCGUCUCGCCCUGCCAUUCCAUUCGGCUUCCCCGCAGGCAGCACACUUCACUCCCUAG